CGUGAGAUGUUGGGUUAAGUCCCGCAACGAGCGCAACCCUCAUCCUUAGUUACCAUCAGGUAAUGCUGGGGACUUUAAGGAAACUGCCAGUGGUAAACUGGAGGAAGGUGGGGAUGAUGUCAAGUCAUCAUGGCCCUUAUGGAGUGGGCUACACACGUGCUACAAUGGUGGCUACAAUGGGCUGCAAAGUCGCGAGGCUAAGCUAAUCCCUUAAAAGCCAUCUCAGUUCGGAUUGUACUCUGCAACUCGAGUGCAUGAAGUUGGAAUCGCUAGUAAUCGUGGAUCAGCACGCCACGGUGAAUACGUUCUCGGGUCUUGUACACACUGCCCGUCACGCCAUGGGAAUUGGUUUCACUCGAAGCUAACGACCUAACCGCAAGGAGGGAGUUAUUUAAAGUGGGAUCGGUGACUGGGGUG
rnacentral:rRNA from 1 species